rnacentral:lncRNA from 1 species
AGGAAGACAGGGCUGAGGAGGAAGGCGAGGCCACUACAGAAGAGGAGGACAAGGAGGAACCUGCGACUUCUGCACCCUCUGUCAAGGUGGGUCUCACGUGCACUCCUCUCUGGCCCUCCUAGGGUACCUGGGGAUGGGCAGCAUGGAGGCCAGCCCAGACUGCCCUGUGGCUGAGCCCCUCAGGUCAGGCCUCCACUCACUGGCCCCCUGGCUGCCUGGAGGAGGGGUGGGUGCAUCUCUGCUGUGACUGCUGCGUCUCUGUGUGCGCCUCACUACAAGUCCCCAGGGUCGGCCUUAGCUGAAGCCCCGACAUAUGAGUGUCUGCCGUGAUCAGCAGUGUCGUCCCCAUGUGCCCCUCUCAGUCCCUGGGCACCUCCGCUCUAGCACUGACCUUCAUCGAGGCUCACGGCGACCCUCUGGGCCAGUGUUUGCCCGUUAGACCUGCAGGCUAGCAGGACCCAGAAGCUGAGGGCAGGUGCACUGCAUACCCUCAGCCUUUUGGGCACAGGGGGCGCUGGCAGGAUGCUCUCCUCUCUGAGAGCUGCUGGCUCCCAGGAUCCUCCCUGCCUAGCCAUGACUUGGCCAGGAGGCCCUGCUGCUGGCAUGCAAUUUGUCCUGUGGGUCUGACAGUCACUCUUCUUCCUUGCAAGACAUCCCUGGCUCCCAGCAGAUUCUUGGGGAAUUGUCUUGUGCCUUCCUGAUCCUCAGUUUGUUCUCAAUGGCUCAUAACAGGUCCCUCCUGCUCAUGGGGACCCUUGAUGCCAAAGAAAGCCCCAGGCUGCCCAGAGGACCCACCUUCCCCACCCCCAUGAUGCCCCUACCCUGAGCAUGGGUUGAUGACAUGUGGCAGUGAGAAGCCUGGGGUCCUAUCAGGGAUGGCUAGGCCUGGGCUCAGCCCCACUCUGGAGCUUCCCCCCAGCCAGCCCAACCCUACCGUCUGUCAGGUCUGCAGCCUUGUGUCAUAGACAGAGGUAACCCUUGUCAGUGCCAGGAACAAGUUGGGAGGGACUGGCUCAGGCGACAGGAGCUUGGUGUGGUCUUCCUUCUGUCUUGUCUGCUCAUGGCCGGGCUGGUGAGGUGGUGGAGGUCCCUGGCGGUGGCUAACCUGCAUGCCUCGCUGGUCCUGUCCUAACAGGGCGUGUCGUUUGACCAGGCCAAUAACCUGCUGAUAGAGCCUGCUCGCAUUGAGGAGGAAGAGGUCUGUACUGCUCACUGCUGCUCUGUGCUCUGGGCCCGGGUCUGCUGCUGACCUUGCUUCCUGGGCUGCGGGUUCUUGCCUCUCCCCACCCCAUCACUUAAGCAUAGACCCUUUCCCAGAAGAGCUCCUGGCAGCUGCUACAGAAAUGGGGUCCUGGGGCUGCCCCGAUAGGGCCUGCUGGUCUUUUGGCAGAGGCAGCACAUCUCUGCCCCCACUGCGGCCUUUCUUGUAGAGGACAAACAGAGGGCCAACGCCAGGCCAUCCGUGUUCAUUCUCUGCAGCUGUGACUGCCCCACGCCUCAGAUACCUCCCAGCUCCUCUUCUGCCUCUGCUACCCUGGCAGGCGGAGGGACCUCAAAAAGAAACCAAAAGGAGCUGUCUGUGGCUGGCCUUGCUGUGCCGCAAGCACACAGACGGCUCAAGCCCUCCCAAACACAGUGUCUGCUCUGUUUCCAGCUGACCCUCACCAUCGUGCGCCAGACUGGGGGCCUUGGCAUCAGCAUCGCAGGGGGCAAGGGUUCCACCCCCUACAAGGGAGAUGACGAGGUGAGCAGCUGCCCCAGGCUAUAGCUGCCCUGGGCUCCCUCCUGCCCCAGACCUGCCUACACUCACUGGCCCAGAGGCUUCUGCUCCAAGGGGUGUUGGAUGCCUGCCGCCAGCCCCACAGUUCAGUCUUCUGUGUGCUUUGCCUGCACUUGGCCACCAGCCCCAGAGUGCACAGGCUGGGCCCAAGGCAGCAGGCAGACGGGGAUGUGCGCACGUGGGAGUUCACAGUCUAGAGCAGCUUGUUUCUCUUCUGCAAUCUGGUCUUCCCUCACACACUCUGGGCGUAGUGCCCGGGUCAAAGCCCUGACCCGCACUUUCUACUUCCUGGACGUAGGACCCACAGUGGUCUCUACUUAGGCCGUAUGUCUUCCUUCAUGUUCUUGGGGAUCUUUGCAGCAUCCCCAGAGAGCAGGCUGGGCUAGGGUCUGAAGGGACCAGGUCUCCCUCCAGUAAGUGCCUCCUGGCCUCCCAGAAAGGGCAAGACAGAAGGCUCUUAAGGAAUCCCCAACUCCUGUCCCCAGGGUGUCUUCAUUUCUCGGGUGUCUGAGGAGGGCCCUGCGGCCCGGGCUGGAGUCCGAGUGGGCGACAAACUCCUUGAGGUGAGUAGUGACUGCUGGCCAGUGACACCUGUGCUCUGGGGUGCCAUCUGGGCUGUUGGGGUAUUUAGUUGUGCCUAUCGGAUGGGGGCACUGUCUACCCUCUCCAGAAGCCCUGAGCCCCAGACCCCAGGACUCCCCCAAACCCUCUUUGGGCAGGAUGUGUAGUGCAGGCACCUAAAACCCCAGAAUCGGGAGGGCUGGGAAAGGGGUCAGACCCCAGCAGGUUGUGGGGCUCAGAUCCUUGUGAGAGACUUGGCACCCCCACCAGGGCACCUGGCUGUUGGAUAUAGGCUGUGCCCUUCCUGUGGGGACAAGGGUGAGGGCCCUGAGGGUAUCAGAAGAGGCUGGUGCUCCUCCUGCUCUCCUGCUCAGCUCUCUUCCCAGCCUCUCUUGGGGGCUCCUGUCCAAGGUGGCGUGUGAGUGUGGGGUCGGUGACCUGGUAAUCCUGGGCAUUCUCUGGGGCUGCUCAGACAGACCCAGAUGGUAGGUUUCCAGAAGCAAGGUGAGUGGUGUGGACUGUUCCAGGGGCAGAUGCCUGUGCUCUGGGAACCGCCAUAGGUGGGGACGAAGCCCAUCAGGAGCUCUGGGUACCCCCUCUCCCUGCCCUUCCCAUCCAUGGAGGGAAGCGUGGGCAGAGGCCACACGAGCCGUUGUCAUGGCGUCAGUGCUCAGGUGUCGGGGUGGCCGCAGCUGGGUGCUGACGUGUGCCGGGCCUCCCACACCUACAGGUGAACGGCGUGGCUUUGCAGGACGCUGAGCACCAUGAGGCUGUGGAGGCCCUCCGAGGGGCAGGCACAGCCGUGCAGAUGCGUGUGUGGCGGGAACGCAUGGUAGAACCUGAGAACGCAGUCACCAUCACACCCCUGCGGCCCGAGGACGACUACAGCCCCCGAGAGCGG